rnacentral:snoRNA from 1 species
UUAUGUGAUGAUUUUUUUGAUAUUCACACUGUACGAGGUGAAAACCUGUGAUUACUCAACCAAAAAAACUGAUUUAAUGAAUCUGAUU